ACACAACACGCCUAAAUCUUAUAAUAAAAUAUGUUUGUUUCAUUUAUUUAACUUGUAGUUUUUUAAUAGACAAAGUUAUAUUGAAUGUAAGUAUUAGUUGACGUCGUGUUUAAAAGGUGCUUUAAACCAAAGUUACAUUAAAUGUGUGACUUGAAAGUUUGUUCACCUUCUCCUUGCUGUCCUGCUCCGUCGGGGGCGAGGUGGGAGACUUCACGCUCCCUAAGGCGACAGCCUGAGUGACCGUGACACCUCCGCCGGAAGCCGGACUGUUCUUUUCCACCGUCUCCACCUUGAUGAGUCGGUGCUUCGGCGACACGUACUUGAUAUCCUGCGCCCCCACGGCGUUCACGCUGCCGCAGCCAAACGCCACAUUUCCGCCGGGAGUGUACGGGUCCUCGAAGUCCAGCUCCUUCUGCAGUUUGUAGGCGGCCAGAAUGUCCGGCUGAGCAGGGAAAGUAGCUCCGGAGAUGGCCGCUUGGAAGCCAGGAGCACCGGGAACACCGGAGUCCGGACCUGGUGGAGGUGAAGUCCCCGGCUGUCGGCUGGUCCUGGCGGGAAACGGAGAGCCCGAAGUGGGAGAAAAGAUAACCUCUCUACCGUGGAGAGGUUAUCAGGUGACCACAGAUGAAGCCGCUAGAUGUUCAAAGUCGAGGCCCAGGGUGGACCACUAAUUUGUGCAUCUGUUGGGGAGGUCUCUGCACUGCUGACAUGUCUCCAUCAAGAUGAUCCCCUGCUGGCCCCACUGUUGACUGGACUCUCACACUAUUAACUAGAUCCACUCGACAUCCUUUGCAUAGUCGCUCAUGGGUGGGGUUCCCCACACCUGCGGUCCCGGCCAAGGUUUCUCAUUAUAUCCCAUUGGGUUGAGUUUCUUCUUGCCUUGAUGUGGGAUCUGAGCCGAGGAUGUUGUUGUGGCUUGUGCAGCCCUUUGAGACAGUUGUGAUUUAGGGCUCUAUGAAUGAACUUUGAUUGAUUGAUAUUCCAGGGAACCAAUACAGUAGAUAUUUCAUUUUGGUCUAUUUAUUUUGUCAGAGCUACAGUGUUGUUCUGCUGUUUUUUAAGCCAUUCUGCAAAAAUGUGACUCUCUCACAAUUUGUUUUAGAACUGAACCCACAUGCCGCUAGUUGAAUAGCCCGAAUAAGAGAGGACCUAAAAUGGAACCUUGGGGAACACUCCGAGUAUUUUGAUUGAUUUUUUUGAUUGAAACUUUUAUUAGUAGAUUACACAGUACAGUACAUAUUCCGUACAAUUGACCACAAAAUGGUAACACCCGAAUAAGUUUUUCAACUUGUUUCAGUCGGGGUCCACGUUAAUCAAUUAAUGGUACAAAUAUAUACUAUCAGCAUAAUACAGUCAUCACACAAGUUAAUUAUCAGAGUAUAUACAUUGAAUUAUUUACAUUGUUUACA